CUGUUGGCCUAGCACAAAGCACAUUUUUGAGCAUUUGCCAAGAGCUGGGCAAGCGCAUUGCUGGAAUUGGCAUCGAAAUUGCAAAAAUUGCAGCUACUAAAAUGCAAAUUGUGCUAUUUUACAUAGUGUAGUG